AGAUCAGACAUCUGUCUGUGUUUAGAUCUGUACCUCUGGUGGCGAGUGCGACUCUGUACGGUAGAUACCGAUGGGAAUCUCCGAACUAGAUGAGCAGAACUUCUGGAAUAAUCUCCCGUAUGUACGGAUCCAUAGGAGGUCACAUGGCAGUAAAGAGGCGGAGUCAGCUAUCUCUAAAACUGGAGCUAUGCUUGGGCGGCGACUCCCACCUUCGUUCUCUAAAGGCGGAGCCAGCUUGAUGCCGCUCUUAGUAGGACUGGUAUUCUGAAAAUCCAAGGCAACCGUUCCUGAAAAGAAUCAAAACAUUUGACCAACACAAUCGCUCCAAAAUCCCACCUUACUUUCUAACUGCUGUCGCUUACCCAUGCUUGCAAGGAUACUAUGAACGGGAAGACCAGAUGGGCUGUUUAAGAUGUCACAGUGGCUCCGCCCCUUUCCCUGAUCUGCUUCCUGUCUAAAAAUAAAAGCUGAGUUUUCCUCC